UACGAAGGGGGCUAGCGUUGCUCGGAAUUACUGGGCGUAAAGCGCACGUAGGCGGUCUUUUAAGUCGGGGGUGAAAUCCUGGAGCUCAACUCCAGAACUGCCUUCAAUACUGGAAGACUUGAGUCCGGGAGAGGUGAGUGGAACUGCGAGUGUAGAGGUGAAAUUCGUAGAUAUUCGCAAGAACACCAGUGGCGAAGGCGGCUCACUGGCCCGGUACUGACGCUGAGGUGCGAAAGCGUGGGGAGCAAACAGG
rnacentral:rRNA from 1 species